rfam:Triticum aestivum genome assembly, contig: Triticum_aestivum_CS42_TGACv1_scaffold_641106_T_1BL-0.284309_5BL-0.149373
CAAAUACUCACUCCGUCCCAAAAUUCUUGUUUUAGAUUUAUUUAGAUACGGAUGUAUCUAACAUUAAAUGUGAAUAGAUACAUUCAUAUGUAGACAAAUCUAAGACAAGAAUUUUGGAACGGAGGGAAUACCGG